rnacentral:rRNA from 1 species
CCUACGGGGGGCAGCAGUGAGGAAUAUUGGACAAUGGGCGAGAGCCUGAUCCAGCCAUGCCGCGUGCAGGAAGACUGCCCUAUGGGUUGUAAACUGCUUUUAUACGGGAAGAAACCCAUCUACGUGUAGAUGGCUGACGGUACCGUAAGAAUAAGCAUCGGCUAACUCCGUGCCAGCAGCCGCGGUAAUACGGAGGAUGCAAGCGUUAUCCGGAAUCAUUGGGUUUAAAGGGUCCGUAGGUGGAUAAUUAAGUCAGAGGUGAAAUCCUGCAGCUCAACUGUAGAAUUGCCUUUGAUACUGGUUAUCUUGAAUUAUUGUGAAGUGGUUAGAAUAUGUAGUGUAGCGGUGAAAUGCAUAGAUAUUACAUAGAAUACCAAUUGCGAAGGCAGAUCACUAACAAUAUAUUGACACUGAUGGACGAAAGCGUGGGGAGCGAACAGGAUUAGAUACCCCCGUAGUC